rnacentral:rRNA from 1 species
UACGUAGGGGGGCAAGCGUUGUCCGGAUUUAUUGGGCGUAAAGAGCGUGUAGGCGGCUUUACAGGUCCGUUGUGAAAACUCGAGGCUACAACCUUUGAAUGCCGCUGGAAACCUGUCUGGCUAGAAGUCCGGGAGGGGCGAGUGGAAUUCCUGGUGUAGCGGUGAAAUGCGCAGAUAUCAGGAGGAACACCAAUGGCGAAGGCAGCUCGCUGGAACGGUACUGACGCUGAGGCGCGAAAGCGUGGGGAGCGAACAGG